rnacentral:rRNA from 1 species
AUUGAACGCUGGCGGCAUGCCUAACACAUGCAAGUCGAACGAGUGGCGGACGGGUGAGGAAUGUCUGGGAAACUGCCUUAUGGAGGGGGAUAACUACUGGAAACGGUAGCUAAUACCGCAUACCAUCGGAUGUGCCCAGGUGGGAUUAGCUAGUAGGUGGGGUAAAGGCUCACCUAGGCUACGAUCCCUAGCUGGUCUGAGAGGAUGACCCGCCACACGGGAACUGAGACACGGUCCAGACUCCUACGGGAGGCAGCAGUGGGGAAUAUUGCACAAUGGGCGCAAGCCUGAUGCAGCCAUGCCGCGUGUGUGAAGAAGGCCUUCGGGUUGUAAAGCACUUUCAGCGGGGAGGCGUUACCCGCAGAAGAAGCACCGGCUAACUUCGUGCCAGCAGCCGCGGUAAUAC